rnacentral:tRNA from 1 species
GGAGAGGUGUCCGAGAGGCCGAAGGAGCACGACUGGAAAUCGUGUAGACGUUAAUAGCGUCUCGAGGGUUCAAAUCCCUCCCUCUCCGCCA